rnacentral:rRNA from 1 species
GAUGAACGCUGGCGGCGUGCCUAAUACAUGCAAGUCGAGCGAACAGACGAGGAGCUUGCUCCUCUGACGUUAGCGGCGGACGGGUGAGUAACACGUGGAUAACCUACCUAUAAGACUGGGAUAACUUCGGGAAACCGGAGCUAAUACCGGAUAAUAUAUUGAACCGCAUGGUUCAAUAGUGAAAGACGGUUUUGCUGUCACUUAUAGAUGGAUCCGCGCCGCAUUAGCUAGUUGGUAAGGUAACAGCUUACCAAGGCAACGAUGCGUAGCCGACCUGAGAGGGUGAUCGGCCACACUGGAACUGAGACACGGUCCAGACUCCUACGGGAGGCAGCAGUAGGGAAUCUUCCGCAAUGGGCGAAAGCCUGACGGAGCAACGCCGCGUGAGUGAUGAAGGUCUUCGGAUCGUAAAACUCUGUUAUUAGGGAAGAACAAAUGUGUAAGUAACUAUGCACGCCUUGACGGUACCUAAUCAGAAAGCCACGGCUAACUACGUG